UACAGAGGGUGCGAGCGUUUAAUCGGAAUUACUGGGCGUAAAGCGUGCGUAGACGGCUAUCUAAGUCGGGUGUGAAAGCCCCGGGCUCAACCUGGGAAUUGCAUUCGAGACUGAAUAGCUAGGGUACGGUAGAGGGAAGCGGAAUUUCCGGUGUAGCGGUGAAAUGCGUAGAUAUCGGAAGGAACAUCAGUGGCGAAAGCGGCUUCCUGGACCAGUACCGACGUCAGGCACGAAAGCGUGGGGAGCAAACAGG
rnacentral:rRNA from 1 species